rnacentral:lncRNA from 1 species
UGAAGGCUUAUACAAAAUAGUUUCCUGCAAACUCAAGUGGCUGGGAAGCCCAGCUGAAGGUUACUUCUACCCCAAGGCCAUGUCAGCAGAAAGUGGCCAACAGGACUUGGGCCUGAAAAAGCUCAGACUGAAUUUUAGGAGUGACAUCUGAAACUGCUGGUUUCUCACAAGGAAUAAAAGCUGUCUGGGAAGCUGGAGAGGCAGUGUGCUGUCUGGAGCAGGGACUUGCAAAUGGGAACAGUGAAGAGAGACAGCAUCUCCUUCCUCUGAAGAUUCUGUUCAGAAUGGAUAAAGGUUCAGCAUCCUCCCUGGAUGGGGCAGCUUAGCAGAUACAGGGUCUCGCCAUGAGCCACAGCACCUGGCCACUUCUCAUUUUUAAUACUGUAGACCCAGAGGAAAGCACUGGGAGGAAUGAGAAAGUAGCGACUAGACAAAAAUGAAAACUCUUUAAGAAGCAUUGCUGAAGUUACAGGGGAAAAAGAUUAAGACAACUGAGGUUAAGGGCCUGACUCCAGAUCACACAGCAAGGGAGAUGGCAAAAUCAAGAUUUCAACCCAGGAAACCUGCCUCCCAUGCCUAUGUUAAUCACUACACCCUUCCCACA